GCUAGCGGCAGGCUUAACACAUGCAAGUCGAGGGGUAUUAGGAGCUUGCUCCUAAGAGACCGGCGCACGGGUGCGUAACGCGUAUACAAUCUACCUUUUGCUGAGGGAUAGCCCAGAGAAAUUUGGAUUAAAACCUCAUGGUAUAUUAAUAAGGCAUCUUAUUAUUAUUAAAGCUUCGGCGGUAAAAGAUGAGUAUGCGUCCUAUUAGCUAGAUGGUAAGGUAACGGCUUACCAUGGCAACGAUAGAUGGGGGCCCUGAGAGGGGGAUCCCCCACACUGGUACUGAGACACGGACCAGACUCCUACGGGAGGCAGCAGUGAGGAAUAUUGGGCAAUGGAGGCAACUCUGAUCCAGCCAUGCCGCGUGCAGGAAGACUGCCCUAUGGGUUGUAAACUGCUUUUAUACAGAAAGAAACACUCCCUCGUGAGGGAGCUUGACGGUACUGUAAGAAUAAGGAUCGGCUAACUCCGUGCCAGCAGCCGCGGUAAUACGGAGGAUCCAAGCGUUAUCCGGAAUCAUUGGGUUUAAAGGGUCCGUAGGUGGAUAAUUAAGUCAGAGGUGAAAUUCUACAGUUCAAUUGUAGAAUUGCCUUUGAUACUGGUUAUCUUGAGUUAUUAUGAAGUAGUUAGAAUGUGUAGUGUAGCGGUGAAAUGCUUAGAGAUUACACAGAAUACCGAUUGCGAAGGCAGAUUACUAAUAAUAUACUGACACUGAUGGACGAAAGCGUGGGGAGCGAACAGGAUUAGAUACCCUGGUAGUCCACGCCGUAAACGAUGGAUACUAGCUGUUCGGAUUUAUCUGAGUGGCUAAGCGAAAGUGAUAAGUAUCCCACCUGGGGAGUACGUUCGCAAGAAUGAAACUCAAAGGAAUUGACGGGGGCCCGCACAAGCGGUGGAGCAUGUGGUUUAAUUCGAUCAUACGCGAGGAACCUUACCAGGGCUUAAAUGUAGAUUGACAGGUUUAGAGAUAGACUUUUCUUCGGACAAUUUACAAGGUGCUGCAUGGUUGUCGUCAGCUCGUGCCGUGAGGUGUCAGGUUAAGUCCUAUAACGAGCGCAACCCCUGUUGUUAGUUGCCAGCGAGUCAUGUCGGGAACUCUAACAAGACUGCCAGUGCAAACUGUGAGGAAGGUGGGGAUGACGUCAAAUCAUCACGGCCCUUACGUCCAGGACUACACACGAGCUACAAUUGUAGGUACAGAGAGCAGCCACUGGGUGACCAGGAGCGAAUCUAUAAAACCUAUCACAGUUCGGAUCGUAGUCUGCAACUCGACUCCGUGAAGCUGGAAUCGCUAGUAAUCGGAUAUCAGCCAUGAUCCGGUGAAUACGUUCCCGGGCCCUGUACACACCGCCCGUCAAGCCAUGGAAGCUGGAAGUGCCUGAAGUCCGUCACCGCAAGGAGCGGCCUAGGGUAAAG
rnacentral:rRNA from 1 species